GCUGACACCCACGGGAGACCUUACCCUUUUGGAUAAAGCCCUCCAAAAAUCAAAGCUGUUGGGAUGAUCACAAGAAACUAGCCGGAAGCAUCACUAAAGACCUCCACACUUACAGGACUUCACAAAGAUGUCAAAAGACUGGGGCUCAUCAUAAAAAACAAGCAGAAAAAUGCUGCAGUGGUUUCCCCCAGAUUUGAACUGCUUGUUCUAAUGAGGUCACCCGAUGAAGUCAGGUAGCACCUGGAUGCAAUGCCGAUGAACUCCACAUCUCCACAAUCGGGAAGACAUCCCUUUUCCAUUCUGCUUAAUCCCAAGGAACGAGUCUCAUCUGCAGGGGUUUUCAGCAGUCUCCAGCUUUGAUUGCAGUCUGCCUAAAGACCAGCAUCAAUCUGACAACGAGGCAUACGCCUAGCCCUCUGAGCCCCAGACGCCCAUAUUCCAGGAAUCCUGCUUCCAGAAUUGAGUCUUUAUCAUCUCAUUGUCGUAGCUGAAUGCGCCACACACAUCCCGUAUUUCAUCCAAAUGGGAAAGUUUGCUAAGAAGAGCCCUCCAUAACACAGCUGACACUGGUUUUGAAGGGGCUAAUUAUGUUUAAAACUAGUCUGAAGCACAGGAGGCUU